UAGAUUUAAUGGAAAUGAAUCUGGAUACAUAGCUCUUGACAAAAUGGAAACAAAGUUGUGGCUUCUCCUCCACCACUAUAUCCUCCAACACCAUGAUUACCACCUACUCCACCACCCCUUCAAUCCCUCACAUCUUCGCAAACAAAUCCCAGAUUUCCGUAGUUAGAAAUCUUAGAGGUUCAUGAAAGCAACAACAAUCAAUAGUGACCAAAACCCUAAUCGUGAUCCGCAAACUUGUCGAGUAAAAUUGUAUAGGAGAAAUCUUUCUCCUUGGUCUAGGAGGACUUGCCUUGGAGAGUCAUAACAAAACAGGGCCAGCAAAUGCGGCAGAGGUGUCAAAGAAGAUGGUGAAAUGUCUUAAGAACAAAUGUCAAACAUUUGCCUCUAACUUUUUUCAUGUUUCUCUAACCUAUUUUGUUAUAUUAUUCAACAUUGUUUUUCUCAUGGGCAUUAAUUAAAUUGCAUAUUUUUAGUUUGUUGAAUCAUGUGUGUGAUUAAAAUAUAGCAAUUAUGCACUACAUUUGUUCAAUAGGUAGUUUUGGUUGAGAGUAGUAAGUUGCCAAUAGCUUUGGACUCGGUGGUGAGACAAGGAGGAGGAAGAGGAGCUGUUGGUGAUUGAAGGGAUUGAGUAUGUGGCGGAUAAGGCUCUCAAGUUCGACGUGCAUGGGAACGAGGACGAGAUCUCGCUGAGUCUACCCGACAAGUCCGAGUUUGCAGGGAGCUUGGUGUACUUGCCACAGUUCCAGGAGAAGGUUAAAACCAGCCUGCAUCUUGGGAUUACGGACUUGUUGGAGGACUUGGGAGCUGACGACGAUGGCAGUAUUAAGGUAACUUUGGUGCCAAGGAAUGUCCAGCGGCCUGUCAUCAUUGGUCGGAUCAAGAUCGACUAUUUUGCCUAGAUAAUUAAGAGCGCAUAUGAUAAACCAUGGGGUCGUUUUUUGUUUUUUAUUUUAUAAUUUCCGUUCCAACUUUUCUAACAGUUUGUAACUGAGCACGGAUUGAAUACAUCUUGAUUUGUUGAUAUAUAGGUAAACAUGAGUAUUCAUUAUGCCAAUAAUUUUCUUGCUUCACUUGUAAAUUAUUGUAAAUUAUUCGUGUAAGUAGCGUAACAUUGUGGAAGAUGAUCAAGAAUCAAAAUACUGUAGUAUACCUACUAUAUCGAUCAUCCAGAUUCAGAAUUUCAGACCAAGUAGCCAUGCCGGCUGCGGGCUGCCGGCUGAACUACCUUUACGUCGUGCGGCCUCCUCUUUUGCUCUCCUCCACCUUUUAUAGUACUGCUAGCAGUACUGCUAAACGCGCCACUUUUGAAUAAUUUGUCCGCAUGAAAGUUGUACCUUGCUCUCAUAAACAAAUCUGCUGCUGUGCUUUGCUUGUUGUCCACUUUGUGUCUUCGUCAUUGGCUUUCCUCUUCUUACCUGCUUCCGCAACAUGAUUUGAAGUGCUAGAGCCUGGUUUGAGUCUAGUAACUGGUGUCGGCCACCAUGAAAGCAUGUAUGGGAAGACAGCCAUCACGGAGUUACUAAUUGCAGCAUAAUUAACCGGAGUGAUCCUACUAGUCUUCCUUGCCUUUCUUGCACGAAUGUUGCACAUGACAAUGUGUGCACUAAGGUCUAGAUACUGUUAGAGUAUGAGUGUGAUUCAUACGGUUUGGUAAUAAUCCUUGUUGUCUCAGAUUGCUAUAAAGAAGUCUUAAUAUGUUUAUGAGAGUUAAUUCGACUUUGGUUUGGAUUGACACUAUGUGUUGAUAAGCUUAAGAAUAGAACUCGUACAAGGAUUUGUUCUUGUAUUCCUUGUAGGAUUAUUAUAGGGUAAUCCAGAUUUGUAGUAUAAAACCACAAGCCCUGCUCUCACAAAAACACGCUUUUAUUGUUCCAAUUACCGAUAACUUGGAGAGCAUUGAGUUUUGCAGAGAUGAGAAGGUUGUGUGUGGAUUUCUCCAAAGGCUUUUAAUCCUAAUCUGUUGAACAUAGUUAUGAUAUGGUGUCUAGUACUACUCUUUCCUGUGAUCAAUGCCGCGAAACAUGAAGAAGUUAUUCAAGCUAAGAAAGAGAGUAGCAAUUAAAAGAGCAGCGAUCGGCCGUACGAAAGAAGAAUGGCAGCAACCCAGAGGUCCUUUCAGAAUUCAACAACUUCCAGAGGGUGCAGUCAUGGCCAUUCUCUCAAGGCUCGUCUCCAUCAAAACCAUCCUUAAUUGCCGGCUACGUCCGACUUCCCAAUUCGGGGAAGGCCUUGUUCUAUUGGUUUUUCAAGCCCAAGAUGAUGCAUCUCGAAAACCCCUUGUCCUGUUGGCUUAAUGGAAUAGCACCAUCUACUGUCUUCUGACAGCACACAUGGGAAAGACUUCGUGAAACAGUCUGCAGAUACAAGACAUCUUCAUUAUUUGGGUCGAAAGCAAGCACCCCUACUUUGUUGAUCAAUGCAUUUCGCACAACCAUUCUGGAUACCGAAAGCAGUUGACGAUCGGUUACCAUGACGUGACACGCUAUCAACACCAUUAAAAUAUUUGUGGGAAGAUCGAAACUUCCAUAGCCAGAACGCCUUUCUUGCACGAAUGUUGCACAUGACAAUGUGUGCACUGAGGUCUAGAUACAAGAUAUCUUCAUUAUUUGGGUCGAAAGCAAGCACCCCCACUUUGUUGAUCAAUGCGUUUCGCACAACCAUUCUGGAUACCGAAGCGCUGCUUGCCAAACACCAUUUGCCUGCAGAGUUGUCAACCUGAUCAUCAUCUUUCAACUCCCAAACAGUCAGAUCAUUCCCUCAAUUCUGAGCUAACUGGCACAUUCGCAAACACGUACCUCAUCUAGCUCUGUUACACACACCUAGGAAUUCAAAUGUUGUAGCUGUGUAAGUGAACUGAUCAUGUUUAGGCAUAUCAAUGAAGCGACAAUUGACAUUCGUAUCACCAGUGGUAUUACUUGUGAUGCUUGAUGUGUUAUCACUAAUGGAGUUGGGAUCCAGCCCCAUAUAUGUCCA